AGAGUUUGAUCCUGGCUCAGAGCGAACGCUGGCGGCAGGCCUAACACAUGCAAGUCGAGCGCUUGUAGCAAUACAAGAGCGGCAGACGGGAGAGUAACACGUGGGAACGCGCCCUUCGGUUCGGAAUAACUCAGGGAAACUUGAGCUAAUACCGGAUACGCCCUAACGGGGAAAGAUUUAUCGCCGAAGGAACGGCCCGCGUCGGAUUAGCUAGUUGGUGAGGUAAUGGCUCACCAAGGCAACGAUCCGUAGCUGGUCUAAGAGGAUGAUCAGCCUCACUGGGACUGAGACACGGCCCAGACUCCUACGGGAGGCAGCAGUGGGGAAUAUUGGACAAUGGGCGCAAGCCUGAUCCAGCCAUGCCGCGUGGGUGAUGAAGGCCCUAGGGUUGUAAAGCCCUUUCGGCGGGGAAGAUAAUGACGGUACCCGCAGAAGAAGCCCCGGCUAACUUCGUGCCAGCAGCCGCGGUAAU
rnacentral:rRNA from 1 species